CAGGGCUUCAGCAGUCCCCACAGUGAAUCUACACGUGCCUUGGCUGCCUGAGGAUUCGAUGUCGUCAGCAGUGGUCAGGAAGGGAAGUAUAUACACUGUAGAUACCAUUUCAUCAGAAUGAGUCUCCCUGACUGUUUGGAGACUGAGCUCUGUCACCCAUCUGGGCUCUGGGCCUGCUCUGUGAUCUGCCUCAGGAAAGUCACAUCUCACUGUUCCUGGGGGACCACAAAGACAGCUUUUGUUCCUCCCCUUUUUAGCCCUGCCUGACACUCUCCCCAGCACUUCCA
rnacentral:lncRNA from 10 species